rnacentral:rRNA from 1 species
GAUGAACGCUGGCGGCGCGCCUAACACAUGCAAGUCGAACGAUUAAAGCACCUUCGGGUGUGUAUAAAGUGGCGAACGGCUGAGUAACACGUGGGCAACCUGCCCCUCUCAUUGGGAUAGCCACGGGAAACCGUGGAUAAUACCGAAUACUUCGGGACUUCCGCAUGGAAGACUCGAGAAAGCUCCGGCGGGGAGGGAUGGGCCCGCGGCCUGUUAGCUUGUUGGUGGGGUAAUGGCCUACCAAGGCAAUGAUGGGUAGCUGGGUUGAGAGACCGACCAGCCAGAUUGGGACUGAGACACGGCCCAGACUCCUACGGGAGGCAGCAGUGGGGAAUCUUGCACAAUGGGCGAAAGCCUGAUGCAGCGACGCCGCGUGCGGGAUGAAGGCCUUCGGGUUGUAAACCGCUUUCAGCAGGGACGAGGCGAAAGUGACGGUACCUGCAGAAGAAGCCCCGGCUAACUACGUGCCAGCAGCCGCGGUAAUACGUAGGGGGCAAGCGUUAUCCGGAUUCAUUGGGCGUAAAGCGCUCGUAGGCGGUCUGUUAGGUCGGGAGUUAAAUCCGGGGGCUCAACCCCCGUUCGCUCCCGAUACCGGCAGACUUGAGUUUGGUAGGGGAAGGUGGAAUUCCUAGUGUGGCGGUGGAAUGCGCAGAUAUUAGGAAGAACACCAGUGGCGAAGGCGGCCUUCUGGGCCAUAACUGACGCUGAGGAGCGAAAGCUAGGGGAGCAAACAGG